rnacentral:rRNA from 1 species
UGGGGAAUAUUGCACAAUGGAGGGAACUCUGAUGCAGCGACGCCGCGUGAGUGAUGAAGGAAUUCGUUUCGUAAAACUCUGUUCUACGGGAAGAAAAGGACUGUACCAUAGGAGAAAGCUCCGGCUAAAUACGUGCCAGCAGCCGCGGUAAUACGUAUGGAGCGAGCGUUGUCCGGAAUUAUUGGGCGUAAAGGGUGCGCAGGCGGCUUUACAAGUUGGAUGUGAAAUAUUGUGGCUCAACCACAAACGUGCAUCCAAAACUGCAAAGCUUGAGUUAAGGAGAGGUAAGUGGAAUUCCUGGUGUGGCGGUGGAAUGCGUAGAUAUCAGGAGGAAUACCGGUGGCGAAGGCGACUUACUGGACUUAAACUGACGCUCAGGCACGAAAGCGUGGGGAGCAAACAGG